rnacentral:rRNA from 1 species
UACGUAGGGUGCGAGCGUUAAUCGGAAUUACUGGGCGUAAAGCGUGCGCAGGCGGCGCCAUAAGACAGAUGUGAAAUCCCCGGGCUUAACCUGGGAACUGCGUUUGUGACUGUGGUGCUCGAGUGCGGCAGAGGGGGGUGGAAUUCCACGUGUAGCAGUGAAAUGCGUAGAGAUGUGGAGGAACACCGAUGGCGAAGGCAGCCCCCUGGGUCGACACUGACGCUCAUGCACGAAAGCGUGGGGAGCAAACAGGAUUAGAAACCCCAGUAGUCC